rnacentral:rRNA from 1 species
UACGAAGGGGGGCUAGCGUUGUUCGGAUUUACUGGGCGUAAAGCGCACGUAGGCGGAUCGUUAAGUCGGGGGUGAAAUCCUGGAGCUCAACUCCAGAACUGCCUUCGAUACUGGCGAUCUUGAGUCCGGAAGAGGUGAGUGGAACUCCUAGUGUAGAGGUGGAAUUCGUAGAUAUUAGGAAGAACACCAGUGGCGAAGGCGGCUCACUGGUCCGGUACUGACGCUGA